rnacentral:lncRNA from 1 species
GAUGAAGGGCACACACUCAAGGGGUUUUAAGCAGGCCAGGUUGACAGCACUUCUCACAGUGGAUGGCAGGGCUAUAGAUGGGCCAGCCAGGAGGGACUCAACCCCGGAAGCCCACAGCCUGGCCACACUGCAGCCAGCUGACUCUGCCGCACCUCCUGGAAGACACAGGCCUUGGCUUCUGCCUACUGCGGGUGACACACCACACCUACCACGCCUCUUCACAAACUUAAAUGGGACAGGUGCCCACGCUGGUAUACAAACCACACCUUGACAGAACCACAUACAGAAACACAUCCGUACAUACCCACUCGCAUCCCAAGGUAGAGGCUAUGCCUUCCCACACCAACUCACAACACCUUAAUCACAGCUAGCAUACCU